UACAGAGGUCCCAAGCGUUGUUCGGAUUCAUUGGGCGUAAAGGGUGCGUAGGUGGGGUGGUAAGUCAGUGGUGAAAUCUCCGGGCUUAACUCGGAAACUGCCGUUGAUACUAUCAUUCUUGAAUAUUGUGGAGGUAAGCGGAAUAUGUCAUGUAGCGGUGAAAUGCUUAGAUAUGACAUAGAACACCGAUAGCGAAGGCAGCUUGCUACACAAUUAUUGACACUGAGGCUCGAAAGCGUGGGGAUCAAACAGG
rnacentral:rRNA from 1 species